rnacentral:rRNA from 1 species
GACGAACGCUGGCGGCGUGCCUAAUACAUGCAAGUUGAGCGCUGAAGGUUGGUACUUGUACCAACUGGAUGAGCAGCGCACGGGUGAGUAACGCGUGGGGAAUCUGCCUUUGAGCGGGGGACAACAUUUGGAAACGAAUGCUAAUACCGCAUAAAAACUUUAAACACAAGUUUUAAGUUUGAAAGAUGCAAUUGCAUCACUCAAAGAUGAUCCCGCGUUGUAUUAGCUAGUUGGUGAGGUAAAGGCUCACCAAGGCGAUGAUACAUAGCCGACCUGAGAGGGUGAUCGGCCACAUUGGGACUGAGACACGGCCCAAACGCCUACGGGAGGCAGCAGUAGGGAAUCUUCGGCAAGAGACGAAAGUCUGACCGAUCAACGCCGCGUGAGUGAAGAAGGUUAUCGGAUCGUAAAAAUCUGUUGGUAGAGAAGAACGUUGGUGAGAGUGGAAAGCUCAUCAAGUGACGGUAACUACCCAGAAAGGGACGGCUAACUACGUG